rnacentral:tRNA from 2 species
GUUGGUUUGGCCGAGUGGUUAUGGCGCUGUGUUCAGGCCGCAGUGUGAAAACGCGUGGGUUCGAAUCCCACAACCAACA